GGUCCUGUAGCUCAGCUGGAUAGAGUACUUGCCUCCGAAGCAAGGGGUCACAGGUUCGAAUCCUGUCAGGACCGCCA
rnacentral:tRNA from 1 species